rnacentral:lncRNA from 1 species
CGAGAGCUGCGGAGGGGCUGGAGGUACCCCACCGCGGGGUGGUGCUCUGACUGCGGGAACCGUUGAAGAGCUGCCCCCGGGGAGUCAGCGAGGCGCCACUGGUCUCUUAGACAUCUUCUCAAGAUUAUGCUAAGAGAAAUGACUGCACCCUUUUCCUGAGCUAUGGCAGUCAGACCUGGCAGUGGUAACUACUCUACAGAACUCCCAAACCUGGCAAGGAUGCUGCAGAUUUUGGCAGAUUAUGGCUUUGUCCCCACCCAGCACUGAUGAUAUUAUGAAAUAUGACACCUUCAAGUAUAAGCAACCAAAGAAAACUAGAUAAAUUGGACCUCAUAAAGUAAAACAAAGAAAAACCUUUUGCUUCAAAGGAUACCACUAAGCAAGCGAAAAGACAACACAUAGAAUGUGAGAAAAAGGUUGUAAACCCUAUAUAUGACAAGGCACCUGUAUCCA